UCUCAAAGAUUAAGCCAUGCAUGUCUAAGUAUAAAUAUUUUACUUUGAAACUGCGAACGGCUCAUUAUAUCAGUUAUAGUUUAUUUGAUAGUCCCUUACUACUUGGAUACCCGUAGUAAUUCUAGAGCUAAUACAUGCACAAAGGCCCGACUCACGGAGGGCUGUAUUUAUUAGAUUCAAAGCCGACCUUGUUCUGGUGAUUCAUAAUAACUGCUCGAACCGCAUGCCUUUAUGGUGGCGGUGAUUCAUUCAAAUUUCUGCC
rnacentral:rRNA from 17 species